UUACAGUUAGAAUUUGGAGAAUCAAGAGAAAGUAUAUAGGAGUUGUAGAAGUUAAUUAAAGUGCCAAACUGUGAGAGUCGUAAGCCGAGGGCCAGGCUGUGAUAGUUGUGAGUCGAGGGCCAUCGCUAUGACAGUGUGAGCCAGGGUAAUCUUGGUGCUACCUCUUUUCUUUUGUUUGUUAUUUUCUUUGAAUAAGAGGAUUGACAGUUUCUCAA
rnacentral:lncRNA from 1 species